rnacentral:rRNA from 1 species
UACAGAGGGUGCAAACGUUGCUCGGAAUUAUUGGGCGUAAAGCGCGUGUAGGCGGUUUGUUAAGUCGGUUGUGAAAUCCCAUGGCUCAACCAUGGAAGUGCUGCCGAAACUGGCGAACUAGAGUCCCGACGGGGAUGGCGGAAUUCCCAGUGUAGAGGUGAAAUUCGUAGAUAUUGGGAGGAACACCGGUGGCGAAGGCGGCCAUCUGGGAGGGUACUGACGCUCAGACGCGAAAGCGUGGGUAGCAAACAGG